UUAUAAGAGACAGCAGUAGCCACGGGAAUACGUAGGGUGCAAGCGUUAAUCGGAAUUACUGGGCGUAAAGCGUGCGCAGGCGGUUCGCUAAGACAAAUGUGAAAUCCCCGGGCUUAACCUGGGAACUGCAUUUGUGACUGGCGGGCUAGAGUAUGGCAGAGGGGGGUAGAAUUCCACGUGUAGCAGUGAAAUGCGUAGAGAUGUGGAGGAAUACCGAUGGCGAAGGCAGCCCCCUGGGCCAAUACUGACGCUCAUGCACGAAAGCGUGGGGAGCAAACAGGAUUAGAUACCCCCGUAGUCCCUGUCUCUUAUAC
rnacentral:rRNA from 1 species